CUCACUAGGACUUUUAAGUGCUCUGCUGGA
rnacentral:piRNA from 1 species